rnacentral:rRNA from 1 species
CUUGCUGCCUUUGUGUCCAUGUGCGAGAACUUCCUGGGUUGUCGACCGCACUGGGGUCUCUUCAAGCACAUAUUCACCUGUCGCUCACAGACAGUAAAAAAGGCGAGUCCGGAUGAUGAGAGGACCAAGGUUAUUCAGAUGUGCGGGGGUCUUGGGAUUCAGUUGAGGAAUAAGAGAACUUUCCCGGCCAUGACCCUUCCUGAGUCGGUCAGAGGGUGGCAGUCGACUUGGUUCUACUGCCAAGACGAGUCGACUGGUCUCCCUCCGUUCUCCAUGGACCGAGUGGACAAACCGUCUUCUCUAAAGGUGCUUCCUGAGGAGAAAGCCGAGGUAAAAAUGUUGAUGGAGCGCGUGGUCCAACUCGUUCGGGACGGAGUGACGGGCAUGGAUCUUCUGGAA